rnacentral:rRNA from 1 species
CAAAAACAUGUCCUUUUGUUUUAAAUAUAAGGUCUAACCUGCCCAAUGAUCUAUAUUUAAUGGCCGCGGUAUAUUAACUGUGCUAAGGUAGCAUAAUCAUUUGUCUUUUAAUUAAAGGCUGGAAUGAACGGUUGGACGAGGUAUUUUCUUUCUUUAAUUUAGUUAAUGAACUUAAUUUUUUAGUUAAAAAGCUAAAAUAUUUUUGGGGGACGAGAAGACCCUAUAGAUCUUUAUAUCUUUCUUUAUUAUAUAUUUUAUUAAUAUUAAUUGUUUUAAUAAUUUUAGAUAUUUGGUUGGGGUGACUAUAGAAUUUAAAUUAACUUCUAUUUUAUUCAUUCAUUAAUUAGUGUUUUUUUGAUCCAAUAUUAUUGAUUAUAAGAUUAAGUUACCUUAGGGAUAACAGCGUAAUUCUUUUGGAGAGCUCAUAUCGAUGAAGGAGUUUGCGACCUCGAUGUUGGAUUAAAAUAAGUUUUAGGUGUAGAAGCUUGAGAACUAGGUCUGUUCGACCUUUAAUUUUUUACAUGAUCUGAGUU